UUCGAGUGGCGGACGGGUGAGUAACGCGUGGGUAACCUGGCCUUACACAGGGGGAUAACACCUGGAAACAGGUGCUAAUACCGCAUAAGCGCACAGGGCCGCAUGGCCCGGUGUGAAAAACUCCGGUGGUGUAAGAUGGACCCGCGUCUGAUUAGCUUGUUGGCGGGGUAACGGCCCACCAAGGCAACGAUCAGUAGCCGGCCUGAGAGGUGAACGGCCACAUUGGGACUGAGACACGGCCCAAACUCCUACGGGAGGCAGCAG
rnacentral:rRNA from 1 species